CAGAAAGCAAUAGGAAAAUAAUAGCCUUUGGUGACCCAUCUAAAACAGUUGCUUAUACAUGUGUGAGUUAAGCAUGGACCAAUCACUAAUGGGAUGCCAGCCAUUCUGCAGGAAAGAGCGCUGUAAUUAUCUGAGCAUUUGAACAAACCCAGAGAGAAACAAGGCUCCACUGGUUCAUACAGAUGAAAUGCAUGGGACCCAUCAGAUUAAUGAAAAUGUUUGUUUUUCAUAUUGCCAUAAUAGUUCAAAUAAAGCUGCAUUAGCAACGGUA